rfam:Brachypodium distachyon strain Bd21 chromosome 4, whole genome shotgun sequence.
UUUUUACUCCCUCCGACCCAUAUUACUUGUCUCAGAUAUGCCCAAAUAUGAAUGUAUCUAUGUUUAAAAAGCGUCUAAAUACAUUAAUAUUUCGACAAGUAAUUCCGGCCGGAGGGAGUACUUU